UCUAAUCCAUCAAGCAUACAAGUAUCAAUUUAAUAUAUUUUAUUCUAAUUGUUACUUUAUUUCAACCUAAUUUAAAUCUAAAAUAAAAAUAGAAAGUCCGAAAUUAACUAAUUUAAUAUCAAAAGCAACAAAUAAAGAAUAAAAUUGGAACUUUUGCCUUGUUUGGCCCGAGUUAUUUCUUCAAGGAAGUACCAAAAUUGCCCUUUUCUUUAUAUUCUUCCUUUCUUCCUCUUUCUUCAACGUGAAAUGUUCAGCCGCGCCGCCUUAAUCUUCGUCUUCCUCUCUUCCUUUUUCUUCACCAAUCUUCACCAUUAACUCCUUCGAUGAAGCUUCCAGGCGGAGUCCACCUCCAUUGAAGCUUUGUUAGCCGGCGUAUGCACCGCCUUGCUGUUCAUCCGCUCCUCCGGUGACCAUGCAACGCUAUUUUCAUUCGAGGAUAGAGGUCGAACAUUGAGAACUCGACGAACAAAGAAAACUUGGAAACAAUACAUAGGCCGAAACUUCAACUCUCUACAAGGGAAAUCUCGCGAAUCUCGCUUAGGUUGUCGAAGGUUGAAGUUCGACACACAUCCACCCUCGAGAUUGCAGGUGGAGGCUUGUGGGAUUAACGUGAAGGGGUGUGGAUGGCUAUAUUUCUGGGAGCGAACUCCAGGCGAAUAUGAAGCGCAUGGAUACAAGUUAUACCUUGGAAUGAAAGACAAAUCCGAAUUAGCUUUGUCUACAAACAAAAUUUUGUAUAUUAGGUUGUCGAAGGUUCCACACAUGUCGAAACUUCAAAGCGAUUA